GCCCGAGUGGUGAAAUUGGUAGACGCAGGGGAUUCAAAAUCCCCCGACUUCGGUCGUGCGAGUUCGAGUCUCGCCUCGGGCACCA
rnacentral:tRNA from 1 species